ACGUUCCCACCCAAUUCUUCAGUGAUGCAACUUAACUAGUGACAAAGUCAGGCACUGAAGUUUUAGCCCAGCCUAUAACCAUAAAUGGAAUUCAUUUCCUGCUGAAGCCUCUGAGAACACUGUUCUGAUGAGUUGUCACCAGGCAAGCAAAAACUCUCAUAUACAGACUUGGAAACAGCAAGAGCAGAGCAAGGCUUAAAACAGAACGGAGGGAGUGAAACUUCACUUGGUCAAUGACUGGAAACAGUAAGAGCAGUGUGGAGCUUUCGACCACCACCAGGAGCCAGCCUGUGGGUUCAAAGCCCAAUUUCGGAAAGAGAAAAAUUGAGGUGUGACAUCACAAGUAAAGAGGUGACUCUGCCAGCUCCAAGUAGAGACCAAGUCCUUCGACCCAUGUUAGAAAGCUCAAAGAGCAGGCUGAGGGCUAAUAGCAAACAAAUGGCACAGAGACCUGUCCCCCAGGACAAAGCCGCCAGCCAUCCCACGCUGCAAACAUCAGCAUUUGAGAAAACAACAUCAUAAAGAGCAAAUACUCACCGAUUAUCAGCAUCUGCAGUAUCCUGAUUUUUGAAUUAUAAACAGAUUGUGAGAAAAACAUUCUGCACCUGACUGAUUUGAAAAUCAGAGCAUCUAGUUUGGGUCCUCCAGAGUUUAAUAUUUUAAUGGCACAACCAUCAAUAAUUCUCUAAAAUCUGGCAGACUGAAACCUACUGCCUUUCAACCAUUCACAACUUGAUUAGCUAUUGUUCAUAAUGGAUCAAUCAGAAGUCCACAUUCAGGACAUAAUUAUUGUUGCCUCAGGUGGGCCAAUAGUUUGGGACCAAAGUCACCCUCAGUGUCCCUGAAUUAGGAGUGCAAGUCCCUCUCCCAGUAACACUGAGGAUGAUUGUGGUGCCGCACCAAUUUACUGUCUGAGAAUAGCUCAAUCAACAUGUGGCAGUUAUCAAACAUGAGAUCUUUCUGGUCUGUAUGACUCGGUACCAAUCACACAAACUGUUUACUUACUGGGCUAUCUGAAGAAUGUCCAAGCUAUUUUUUCUAUUUUAAUGAGUACAAAUGAAAAGUUUACUUUUGCACCUUCAGCUGAAUUUCAUAUGUACUAUUCAUGCUGGCACAUGAGCCCUUCUUCAGAUUCACUAAUAUCUUGAACACUAGGUGCUCCUGUUGGUCUUUCAAUUUACAAAACUACACCAACAGAAAAAUAAAUACUUGUUCAAUUAGAUCAAUGCUGUAGGUGAUAAAGAAGUUUCAAUCAAAUACAGCUUUAUUAAAAAUGAAGCCACCCACCAUUGCAAAAGAGGUGCAUUAUUUUGUUGUAUCAUUUAAUUUACAAUUCAUCAUAAAUUUUGUCAUAGUUUGAUUGACAGAACAUAUGCAUUUCAUUGUUUGUGGUACAUUUAUCAACUGAAAAAAUGUCUACUAACGUUUCAUAAAAUAUUGUAAUGAUCGCUAUAAUAAAUUAAGACCUGAUAAAUUA